UACGUAGGGGGCAAGCGUUGUCCGGAUUUAUUGGGCGUAAAGAGCUCGUAGGCGGUUUGGUAAGUCAGGUGUGAAAUCUCCACGCUCAACGUGGAGGGGCCACCUGAUACUGCCAUGACUGGAGUCCGGUAGAGGAGUGUGGAAUUCCCGGUGUAGCGGUGAAAUGCGCAGAUAUCGGGAGGAACACCGGUGGCGAAGGCGGUUCUCUGGGCCUGACCUGACGCUGAGGAGCGAAAGCGUGGGGAGCGAACAGG
rnacentral:rRNA from 1 species